CAAUAAGCGGAGGAAAAGAAACCAACAGGGAUUGCCCUAGUAACGGCGAGUGAAGCGGCAACAGCUCAAAUUUGAAAUCUGGCGCAAGCCCGAGUUGUAAUUUGUAGAGGAUGCUUCUAGGUAGCGACCGGUCUAAGUUCCUUGGAACAGGACGUCAUAGAGGGUGAGAAUCCCGUAUGUGACCGGCCCGCACCUUCUACGUAGCUCCUUCGACGAGUCGAGUUGUUUGGGAAUGCAGCUCUAAAUGGGAGGUAAAUUUCUUCUAAAGCUAAAUACCGGCCAGAGACCGAUAGCGCACAAGUAGAGUGAUCGAAAGAUGAAAAGCACUUUGGAAAGAGAGUUAAAAAGCACGUGAAAUUGUUGAAAGGGAAGCGCUUACAACCAGACUUCUGGGCGGUGUUCCGCCGGUCUUUUGACCGGUCUACUCGCCGUCCCGAGGCCAACAUCAUCUGGGACCGCUGGAUAAGACCUCAGGAAUGUAGCUUCCCUCGGGAAGUGUUAUAGCCUGUGGUGAUGCAGCGCGUCUCGGGUGAGGUCCGCGCUUCGGCAAGGAUGUUGGCGUAAUGGUUGUCAGCGGCCCGUCUUGAAACACGGACCAAGGAGUCUAACAUCUAUGCGAGUGUUCGGGUGUCAAACCCCUACGCGUAAUGAAAGUGAACGGAGGUGGGAAGCGUAAGCUGCACCAUCGACCGAUCCUGAUGUCCUCGGAUGGAUUUGAGUAAGAGCAUAGCUGUUGGGACCCGAAAGAUGGUGAACUAUGCCUGAAUAGGGUGAAGCCAGAGGAAACUCUGGUGGAGGCUCGCAGCGGUUCUGACGUGCAAAUCGAUCGUCAAAUUUGGGUAUAGGGGCGAAA
rnacentral:rRNA from 1 species